CGAAACACCAAGCCUCCGGAAGAAGGUCGCCAGGUAACCGGAAGAUGCCAGAGACAACAACAACAUUCGGAGCCCGCCGGGAGAAGAGAGAAUGCACUGCCAACAGGGUGCUGAUAGGGAGUCCCUCCCCUUGUGAAAUGUGGCCCUAGCAGUUGGAGGGACCGUGGUCCAGUAAGCCAGUACUUCUGUUUGGUAUAUAACAUUUGUUUUUGGAUUGCCGUGGUCUCAAGAGCUGCCAAUUUUUUCCUUUCCAGAAGUAAUUUUCGGUUAUUGUCUGCCCUAUAAUUGUGCCUCGUAAGACGGCUUUAAAGGCAUCCCAUAUGAGAUGUUGGGAAGUUUCAC